rnacentral:RNase_P_RNA from 1 species
GCUCCGGGCGCCGGUCGCCGGCGGGGCGCGUCAGCGCAUCCGCCGGAGGAAAGUCCGGACUCCACAGGGCAGGGCGUCCGUGUUGGCAACGAUGCGGAAUCCCUUUGGCAAACGAAGGGAAAGGAAAGUGCCACAGAAACCAGACCGCUCCGUCGCACGGCAACGCGCGGCAGAGCAAGGGUGAAACGGCGGUGUAAGAGACCACCGUCCGGGAUCGAGAGGUCCCGGGCAAGGCAAACCCCGUCCGGAGCAAGAUCAAAUAGGGAAUCGCAGGGGCGGCCCGUCCCGGUGCGCGGCAACGCGCGGCGGUUCCGGGUUGAUCGCAUAGACAAAUGACCGGGUCCGCCAAUGGCGGAUGACAGAAUCCGGCUUAUUCGUCCGGAGUCCCG